GACGAACGCUGGCGGCGUGCUUAACACAUGCAAGUCGAACGCUGAAGCUUGGUGCUUGCACUGGGUGGGUGAGUGGCGAACGGGUGAGUAAUAAGUGAGUAACCUGCCCUUGACUCUGGGAUAAGCCUGGGAAACUGGUUCUAAUACUGGAUACGACAUGUCACCGCAUGGUGGUGUGUGGAAAGGGUUUUACUGGUUUUGGAUGGGCUCACGGCCUAUCAGCUUGUUGGUGGGGUAAUGGCUCACCAAGGCGACGACGGGUAGCCGGCCUGAGAGGGUGACCGGCCACACUGGGACUGAGACACGGCCCAGACUCCUACGGGAGGCAGCAGUGGGGAAUAUUGCACAAUGGGCGGAAGCCUGAUGCAGCGACGCCGCGUGAGGGAUGACGGCCUUCGGGUUGUAAACCUCUUUCAGCACGGAAGAAGCGAAAGUGACGGUACGUGCAGAAGAAGCGCCGGCUAACUACGUG
rnacentral:rRNA from 1 species